rnacentral:rRNA from 1 species
GGGAGGCAGCAGUGGGGAAUAUUGCACAAUGGGCGCAAGCCUGAUGCAGCCAUGCCGCGUGUAUGAAGAAGGCCUUCGGGUUGUAAAGUACUUUCAGCGGGGAGGAAGGUGUUGAGGUUAAUAACCUCAGCAAUUGACGUUACCCGCAGAAGAAGCACCGGCUAACUCCGUGCCAGCAGCCGCGGUAAUACGGAGGGUGCAAGCGUUAAUCGGAAUUACUGGGCGUAAAGCGCACGCAGGCGG